rnacentral:rRNA from 1 species
ACGUAGUUAGCCGUGGCUUUCUGGUUAGGUACCGUCAAGGUGCCAGCUUAUUCAACUAGCACUUGUUCUUCCCUAACAACAGAGUUUUACGACCCGAAAGCCUUCAUCACUCACGCGGCGUUGCUCCGUCAGACUUUCGUCCAUUGCGGAAGAUUCCCUACUGCUGCCUCCCGUAGG